rnacentral:rRNA from 1 species
UUGAUCCUGGCUCAGAAUCAACGCUGGCGGCGUGCCUAACACAUGCAAGUCGAACGAGAAAGUGGAGCAAUCCAUGAGUAAAGUGGCGACCGGGUGAGUUACACGUGACUAACCUACCUUCGAGUGGGGGAUAACCUCGGGAAACCGGGUCUAAUACCGCAUAAUGCCUUCGGGUUAAAGGAGCAAUUCGCUUGAAGAGUGGGUCGCGGCUGAUUAGCUAGUUGGCGGGGUAACGGCCCACCGAGGCGAUGAUCGGUAGCCGGCCUGAGAGGGCGCACGGCCACACUGGAACUGAAACAUGGUCCAGACUCCUACGGGAGGCAGCAGUGGGGAAUUUUGCGCAAUGGGGUAAACCCUGACGCAGCAACGCCGCGUGGAGGAUGAAGUCCCUUGGGACGUUAACUCCUUUCGACCGGGACGAUUAUGACGGUACCGGUGGAAGAAGCCCCUGCUAACUUCGUGCCAGCAGCCGCGGUAAUU